rnacentral:rRNA from 1 species
UACGGAGGGUGCAAGCGUUAAUCGGAAUUACUGGGCGUAAAGCGUGCGCAGGCGGUUUGUUAAGUCCGCUGUGAAAUCCCCGAGCUCAACUUGGGAAUUGCAGUGGAUACUGGCAAGCUGGAGUAUGGUAGAGGAAGGUGGAAUUCCCGGUGUAGCAGUGAAAUGCGUAGAGAUCGGGAGGAACACCAGUGGCGAAGGCGGCCCUUCUGGACCAAUACUGACGCUCAUGCACGAAAGCGUGGGGAGCAAACAGG